AUGCUUACUGGCAGGGAGAUACCAUGAUCACAAAGGUGGUUUCCCAGGGCGAGGCUUAUCCAUUGCACUCUGUAUGUGCUGACCCCUGCAAAUGUGGGAAACUCGAAUGCAUAAUUUGUGGUAAUGGGGGACUAUGUUUGCUUUCCCCCCAC
rfam:Tupaia chinensis contig93372, whole genome shotgun sequence.